GUAUAAGGUUUAUAGGCACUUAGGCCCAAUGAUACAUUCUGUUACAUACUACGGGUAUAUGAAAAAAAACGUAGGCUUGGAAGUGCAAAGAAAGCCGACGCAAAGAGCGCAGCAUUCCUCCCGACCGAGUUACCUCGGAAAAUUCAUCCAGGUCUACAAGAGGUGCACAGGUGGAGAGAUGAGGAUGGCGGGUGUGCACAUGCCCCCACAAGAGAGCCAGCAACAACCACACCAAAUUCAUUCAAUAAUGAUCCUUCCGCAGGUUCACCUACGGAAA
rnacentral:misc_RNA from 1 species